GCGGGCGUCAUAUAGUGGCAGUAUGUGGCGUCGCCAACGCUGACACGGGGGUUCGAGUCCCCCCGCUCGCACCA
rnacentral:tRNA from 1 species